AAGUCGUAACAAGGUUUCCGUAGGUGAACCUGCGGAAGGAUCAUUAACUAUGCGAAAGCAUAUACCCGCCCGCGGCCUCGUGCCGCUGUGGUGACCACCCUUUGUGAACCUUUAUUUUUUGCUUCGGCAGUUCGCCUCCCGCAAGGGUUGCGGUAAAGCUGCCGACAGCCCACACCAUAAACUAUUUUGUUACCAGAAAUCAUGCAGUCUGAUUUACUUUAAUAUAAAAAGUUAAAACUUUCAGCAACGGAUCUCUUGGUUCUC
rnacentral:misc_RNA from 1 species